rnacentral:tmRNA from 1 species
GGGGGCGAAACGGAUUCGACGGGGAUGUUGAAGCUUAAUGUUGCAUGCCGAGUUUUCUGUCAACUCGUUAAACUGACGGAAGUAAAUAUAAUCGCAGACGAUUAUAACUACGCACUGGCAGCUUAAUCUGCUGUGCCGUUCCACCGGUUUUCGCCUGUAGAACCGGAUUCGGAGCGUCGACUACACAGGCUGGUUGUCCGUGAGUGCCUGGGCACGGCCAACGAGAUCUUCAGGCUGGCAUCCGAACAUCUCUGUUUCGGGAGAGAAGCGGAUGCGAGAUCUAAUCCCGGAACUAUGCAUGUAGAGACUUAAGGGGAGAAUUUCCGGACCCGGGUUCAACUCCCGGCGCCUCCACCA